rnacentral:hammerhead_ribozyme from 1 species
AUACAGCUGACGAGUCCCAAAUAGGACGAAACGUACGUCCUGUGU